UUCAACAGCUACUGGUCUGCCGCUCUGCUUGUGUUGGCAGUUUUGACAUUCCUCUGUGGGAAAAGAAUUGUUACAUGAUUAAACACCUCUUUCUUAGCAAAACAGAAAGUGGGCAUUAAGUGGCAAACACAA